rnacentral:sRNA from 1 species
UGAGCUGCACGGAGACCUCGCCGGCCCCGGGAACUGUCGCCCUUCCACGAUGUGGCUCCGUGCCUUUGUCCUGGCCACUCUCGCUGCUUCCACGGCUUGGGGUGAUGGUGUGGAUCCAUGGAGGGGGGUUGAUGGUGGGUGCGGCAUCAACCUAUGAUGGGCUGGCCCUUGCUGCCCAUGAAAACGUAGUGGUGGUGACCAUUCAAUACCGCCUAGGCAUCUGGGGAUUCUUCAGCACAGGGGAUGAACACAGCCCGGGGAAUUGGGGUCACCUGGACCAGCUGGCUGCCCUGCGCUGGGUCCAAGACAACAUUGCCAGCUUUGGAGGGAACCCAGGCUCUGUGACCAUCUUUGGAGAGUCAGCGGGAGGAGAAAGUGUCUCUGUUCUUGUUUUGUCUCCAUUGGCCAAGAACCUCUUCCACCGGGCCAUUUCUGAGAGUGGCGUGGCCCUCACUUCUGUUCUGGUGAAGAAAGGUGAUGUCAAGCCCUUGGCUGAGGUAGGUCUCCAGCUGGUACGUCUCUGGCUGGACACCCCCACCC